UACGGAGGGUGCAAGCGUUAAUCGGAAUUACUGGGCGUAAAGCGUGCGCAGGCGGUUGUGCAAGACAGAUGUGAAAUCCCCGGGCUUAACCUGGGAAUUGCAUUUGUGACUGCACGGCUAGAGUGUGUCAGAGGGGGGUAGAAUUCCACGUGUAGCAGUGAAAUGCGUAGAUAUGUGGAGGAAUACCGAUGGCGAAGGCAGCCCCCUGGGAUAACACUGACGCUCAUGCACGAAAGCGUGGGGAGCAAACAGG
rnacentral:rRNA from 1 species